rnacentral:rRNA from 1 species
UACGUAGGGUGCAAGCGUUAAUCGGAAUUACUGGGCGUAAAGCGUGCGCAGGCGGUUCGCUGUGUCCGAUGUGAAAGCCCCGGGCUUAACCUGGGAAUGGCAUUGGAAACUGGCGGGCUUGAGUGCGGCAGAGGGGGUGGAAUUCCGCGUGUAGCAGUGAAAUGCGUAGAGAUGCGGAGGAACACCGAUGGCGAAGGCAGCCCCCUGGGUCGACACUGACGCUCAGGCACGAAAGCGUGGGGAGCAAACAGG